UCUUCUCUUGCAACGAAGGCUUCUGCAGACGGGUAACUCACUUCUUCCAGUUCGAUGAUUUCAGCUGCAGGGAGCUCGCGGAGAUGCUGCUGCUGAAGAUGAGCAAGCAGGAUAAGAAGAGGAGCCACUUGUACGGGUUUAAGCUCGAUUCUUGCUGCAGUCUUGAUGCUGUGGAGUCGGUUAUAGAGAGGAAGUCGAGCAAGAAGCUUAGGAGUAAGAUGAAUGGAGGUUUGGUGGAUCAUUUGCUCAACAAUGCCAGAGAGAAUCUUGAUUCUAGGGUCAGCUUUGAGGCCGAUGGCGAUGAGCUGUUGACCAUCACGUUGAGCGAUUUGGAGGCAGGCCUCGAGCAGCUGGUGCGGCGGUCGUCUUACUGAGGAAGAGAAGAUUAAGGUUGUUGAUGGAGGAAAUUGAGAGAAGGUGAAAGUCAGCAGCCAUUGGGGAAUUGAGUUCAUGGAUGCUAUGGCUCUUGAACCAUUGGGGAAUUGAGUUCAUGGAUGCUAUGUGUAACGUCCCGCCUUUUACUUGUGUUUAAUUCUUUAUUUUGGUGAUUUAAAAUAUAAUUUUGUCAUGUUUGAUUUUAUAAUCUCGGACUUGAGGGAGUCCGUAGUUGCGCCCUAGUUAAAAGUCAAAUAGAAAUAUUUAUAUGUGUAUAUAUAUAGGGUUCUAGAAUUAUUAUUAGUUUUUGUAGUAAAUAUAACUUAAUAAUUUCCCUUUAAUUUGGGCUUUUGGAGAAGCUGGGCUAAGAGAAAUAAAACUUGUAAUUAGUAUUAUUUUAUUAAGUAGAAUUAGAGAUGAAGUGGGGUUCUAUUAGGGUUAUAACUACAAACCCUUAAAUCACGUCAAUAGAUAUACAUUACGUUCUGCACUCCUCUUCUACCACAUUCACAAGAUUUCACAAAUAUUCUUUGCGCUCUCCCAAAUUUUCCUAACAAGGUCAGAAGUUGUUUCGCCUGUGAGAUUCUUUCCUCGUCAAAUUGAGUUACUUCCGGUAAAGUUUUCAAUAUUUACUAAAGCUUAAGAAAUUGAUUUGGUAUUACACGUGUUUGAGUCUACUGAAAUUUUAAUAAUUAUAAUAUAAUGAUAUCAUUCAGUCCUAGCAUAAUGAGUUUAAUAUUGCUGUUUGAUUUUAAUCCACUGAGUUGUGUAUUUAAUUUGUUGCAUCGGUCAGUUGAAUAAAAGAGGGAGGUGUUCUCUAUUUUUUUUUAAGUUAAGAAAGAGAAUAACAAAUAGUUAACUUUAUUUAUUAUUUGAAAAGUGGAGUUGGGGAUUAGUUUUACAAAAUAUAUGCUGGUUCGAUUUUCGCAAAUAUUUAUAACACAUUUUCGUUCCUUUUUGCAUCAAGUUGAUUCAUAUAUUGGUUGUUUAAAGUAUAAUUAAAUUUUCAAUUUGAUCAAAGAUAUUGUCUCUACAGACGAAAGCUAUUUAAUGGUUAGGAUUACUUGUAUUAAUCUUUUUCUUGUGUUUUAAUUAAAGUCUUGAUUUUGAACUAAUUAUUAAUUAAAUAAAUGGGUGAUUAGUUUUUUUUAAAAAGGGCUACUGUUUCAUUUCUAUAAUAAUCAAUACAUAAGGUUUUGUCAUAGAUUGGGUUUGCGUAUUAAGUUUUGGGAAAAGAAGAUUAGGUUAUUAACUAAUUAGCUAGAUUUAAUUUAUUUGCAGAAGCUAAUUUGAUUGAUUCAUUUAUUUAUGUUCUUAAGUCAGUAGCUAAUGAUACUUACUAAUGGGGUUUCAAAUCUCUAAAGUGAGUUCUGAUUAAAAUAGUUUAGCUUCGAAAAAUAGUUAUUUUUCUUUAAACCCUUUAUUUAAGGUUGAGGCUUAGGCCCUUAUAAAAUUAUUGUUUUUAUUGAAUUAGGUGCGGCGCAACUAAGACCCCCGUGUGAGAAUUGAUUGAAUUUCUUUUGUUGUGCUUGAUAUUGAGGUGGGUGAAUUUUCUUCUAACUCAAUAAAUAUGUUUCAAUUACCAUGUGAAUUAAAAUUUGUUUAUGAAAUAUUUUCUAUAAAUCCAACGUGUAUAUUGUGGUUGAGAUACAAGUUUGAUUGCAUACGGUGAGUAUGCNNNNNNNNNNNNNNNNNNNNNNNNNNNNNNNNNNNNNNNNNNNNNNNNNNNNNNNNNNNNNNNNNNNNNNNNNNNNNNNNNNNNNNNNNNNNNNNNNNNNNNNNNNNNNNNNNNUUCCACGCCUGGGUGGCUGGAUUAUUUGCCUGUGUGGCAAUGUUGUGAAUGGUUCCAUGCCUGUGUGGCUGGAUUGUUUGCCUGGGUGGCAAUGUUGUGAAUGGUUCCAUGCCUGUGUGGCUGGAUUGUUUGCCUGGGUGGCAAUGUUGUGAAUGGUUCCAUGCCUGUGUGGCUGGAUUAUUUGCCUGUGUGGCGAUGUUGAGAAUGGUUCCAUGCCUGCGUGGCUGGAUUAUUUGCAGGUGAGGUAAGGUGUGUUAUUUAUGUUGUGAUGGUGAGGCAGGUUGCGAAUGAGUAUCGUUUUCCACAAUUUAAUACACGUUUGGAUAAAUCAUAAUCCCUUUAUUGUUUCCCACCACUGAGUACGUUUUUGUGCUCACCCCCUUUCAUUAAAUUAUUUUCAGGUCAGUGAUUUUGGAGCGGCGUGGCGGAAUGGGUGUGGUGAAGUUAUUUUCGUACUUUUGGUUCCGCUGCAAACGUUGGACUCUAAUAUUGUUAAAUUUCUUUGAGUUGUUUUGAGGUUAAGCUUGCUUUUGUUUCAUGAAGGUCUUUGGUAAUUGGUUUAACUUUAUUGGUGAAUGAUGAACUUGAUGUGGAAGUAUUUGGUGUUUAGAUCAGUUAAAACAAAGUCGUAUUUUUGGUCAAUUAUCUUUCCGUUAACUUGAGGAUUUAAAGAAAUAUAUUAUUUUAGUUAUGAGAUUUUAGGGUGUUACAUUUAGUCUUGAAUAUAUGUUGAAUUAUGAAUUGAGUUCAUGGAUGCUAUGGCUCUUGAAUAUAUGUUGAAUUAGAAUGUAUGUGCUUGAUUUUGAAUGCUAGUAUAUAUUCGAUUGGGUUAGUAUUCAAAUAAUAAUACAAAAUCACGAUAUUCAACUAAUCAAAUAAGGUUUGUAUAUAUAGCUGUUCCGAGACAUUGUUUUAGAUCAAAUCUUUUAAAUUGGGAUUGCAGUAUCGCAUAUUUGUUCAUAACUAUUCAAUUUUGUUGAAUAUUUGACAAGGUUGUGAUUUCAAAAGUAGCCAGCUAAUUAGAAGGUUGCUGCUUAGGCAAAUAAAAUUUAAAAGUAGUAAACUACUAGACUUCUCAGCUCAAUUAUUGUCAACCUUUUUUAAAACCAUUUAAACUGAUACCCCCUCCGUGAUAUAUAUUGUUUUUUAUUUUUUCCUUUUCAUUCAUUUGUUUUGCUUUGUAAUAAAAGGUUAAACGCUAAUUUCAAGAUGCAUCAAUUAUAGUAUGCUGGAUCUCUAGCGUACAGUUUCCUUAUUAUACCAAAAAAUAAAAAAAUAGAUUUAGCAACACAACUUUCUUUUAAACUGUCAUUUUAUACAAAUUCAGUGACGGAAAGAUGAGCCACCUUGCCAGAUUCUUAAAAAAUCUUCUCAAUUGAAUGGAAAAAAGAUCGAGCCAUGUCUCAGUUGAAGUCUUUAAUUGUUCAGUUGGUCUUGCAUGCGACCGCCGCAUACUAUGUAUUAAAGUGUCCCACAUUGGAUUGGAGAUAAUGGCAUGAGCCACUUUAUAUGGUGAGACAAUCCUCUCCCUUUUAAGAGAGGAAUUGGCCCAAUAUCCAUUUCUAAUACUAUGCAACAGGUUACUUGCUAAUUGGACGCGCAUACUAUGCGAUCGGUCGCACCCAAUAAUUUGCGUUAAUUGUUUUGUCAUUUUUAAUUUGUCAUUGCAAUUUCUUCGUCUUCUUCUUCUUCUUUUGCCAUGCUCAUUUUGCAGCUUUUAGAGUUUCUUGAAAUCACUUAUGCAAGGUAAAAACAAGUUGAAUUCCAAUUGAAUUGAACAAGCGUGAAAAUUAUUUUUUAUUUUCAAUCUUUUCCAUUCUCUACAUAAUGUUAAGAUUUUUACUGUACAUUACUAAUACUUAGGGAAAAUUGCAUGUAAAUACACAAACUUUGCUCAAAAUUCAUCUUUGCCGAUGCCGGCGACUUCGUCGGUCACAAAUCCGAUGCCGGCGACUUUGUCGGUCGCAAACAUUCAUGUAUGCGUCGAGUCUGGAGAUCUCACUGCACUCGUUCAAAAUCCUUCUUCUCUUAACGAAAGGAGAAAUGCUGUAAGAUUUCUUCUCUAUAAGUAUCAUAUUCAGAUUCGUUUUAUUUUUACAGAUUUCGUUAAUGACAUGGCAUGGCAGCCAGAUUGAAAGGGAAGUUAGGAGUUCAUAAUGAAGCAGAUAAGUUUGUUGUCAAUUUGAGAUAUAGAACAUGUAAUUGUAGAUUUGGGAUGUUAAUCCGGCUGCCUUGUCAGUAACGAUUUGGGGUGCAAAACCAGAAAAUGAGAAUUGUACUACAUUUUUUAAACUUUAAAGUGCAAUUUGAUAUUUCAUUUUCAUGUAUUCUAUUUUUAUGAAAAAGACUUAAUUACUAUAUUGGGCGUGAGCUUAGGUAGAACAAUAUUAAGUACAACGGUGGGAUGAAGGGGAAGAUGGAUGAAUUAGAGUUGGAGCUAUCGAAGAUAGUAGGACUACACGAGCUGAAGCUGCAGCUUCGAAAAUGGGCCAAGGGCAUGCUCUUGGACGAGAAGUGCCGUGCCACGGGCGUAGACCUCGGCCCCAGGAAACCGCCUCACAUGGCCUUCCUUGGAAACCCCGGGACAGGUACCAUGCCCCCGGCCCUUGCUUAAAUCAGGUUCACAAUGACACUACUUCAACAUACAAAUGACACUUUAUUAUAAAGUGUCAUUUGUAUGUUGAAGUAGUGUCAUUAUGAAAGCCAUGAAAUCGGUUUCACAGGAGACCACCUAUUAUCAGAAUUACCAAUAUUACAUAUAUAUAUUCUUGCAGGCAAGACUACAGUUGCAAGAAUCCUAUGAAAGCUACUCUGUUGUGUUUGUGUUCUGUCUUCUGAUAAGGUAACGGAGGUGCAACGAACGGAUUUAGUAGGGGAAUAUAUCGGCGAAACUGGUCCAAAGACUAGGGAAAAGGUAUUUCUUGUGUUUCAAAGAAUCUGAUGUCAAUAUAAAAGUUGGAUAAAGCAUUUAGUUGUAUCUUUGUAGAUUGAAGAAGCAAUGGGUGGGAUUUUGUUUGUGGACGAAGCAUAUCGUCUAGCUUCAGACAUAAAUUAUGACUUCGGCAAGGAAGCGCUGGAAGAGAUCAUGUCAGUGUUGGAGGAUGGCCAUCUCCUUGUGAUCUUCGCGGGCUACACGAACCCCAUGAAGGGCGUCUUCUCUUGCAACGAAGGCUUCUGCAGGCGGGUAACUCACUUAUUCCAGUUCGAUGAUUUUAGCUGUAGGGAGCUCGCGGAGAUGCUGCUGCUGAAGAUGAGCAAGCAGGAUAAGAAGAGCCGGUUGUGCGGGUUUAAGCUCGAUUCCUGCUGCAGUCUUGAUGCUGUGGAGUCGGUUAUAGAGAGGAAGUCGAGCGAGAAGCUUAGGAAUAAGAUGAAUGGAGGUUUGGUGGAUCAUAUGAUCA
rnacentral:lncRNA from 1 species